CCUACGGGAGGCAGCAGUGGGGAAUCUUGCGCAAUGGGCGAAAGCCUGACGCAGCAACGCCGCGUGCGGGAAGAAGGCUUUCGGGCUGUAAACCGCUUUCAGCAGGAACGAAAAUGACGGUACCUGCAGAAGAAGGAGCGGCCAACUAUGUGCCAGCAGCCGCGGUGAUACAUAGGCUUCAAGCGUUGUCCGGAUUUAUUGGGCGUAAAGAGUUCGUAGGCGGUCGAGUAAGUCGGGUGUGAAAAUUCUGGGCUCAACCCAGAGACGCCACCCGAUACUGCUUGACUUGAGUUCGAUAGGGGAGUGGGGAAUUCCUAGUGUAGCGGUGAAAUGCGCAGAUAUUAGGAGGAACACCGGUGGCGAAGGCGCCACUCUGGAUCGAUACUGACGCUGAGGAACGAAAGCAUGGGUAGCAAACAGGAUUAGACACCCUGGUAGUCCAUGCCGUAAACGGUGGGCACUAGGUGUGGGUUUCUAUUAACGAAAUCCGCGCCGUCGCUAACGCAUUAAGUGCCCCGCCUGGGGAGUACGGUCGCAAGACUAAAACUCAAAUGAAUUGACGG
rnacentral:rRNA from 1 species